GGCGUCCGAGUUGUAAUUUGUAGAGGAUGCUAUUGGGUUGCCACCGGUCUAAGUUCCUUGGAACAGGACGUCACAGAGGGUGAGAAUCCCGUAUGUGACCGGCCAGGCGCCUUCUGUAUAGCUCCUUCGACGAGUCGGGUUGUUUGGGAAUGCAGCCCUAAAUGGGAGGUAAAUUUCUUCUAAAGCUAAAUACCGGCCAGAGACCGAUAGCGCACAAGUAGAGUGAUCGAAAGAUGAAAAGCACUUUGGAAAGAGAGUUAAAAAGCACGUGAAAUUGUUGAAAGGGAAGCGCUUGCAAUCAGUCUCGACGGCGGCUGUUCGGCCUCUCUCCUGAGUGGUUUAUUCAGUCGCCGCCGGGCCAGCAUCAGUUUUGGCGGUCGGAUAAAGGCGCGGGGAAUGUAGCUCCUCCGGGAGUGUUAUAGCUCCGCGUGCAAUACGGCCCGCCGGGACUGAGGUCCGCGCUUCGGCUAGGAUGCUGGCGAAAUGGUUGUAAGCGGCCCGUCUUGAAACACGGACCAAGGAGUCUAACAUCUACGCGAGUGUUUGGGUGUCAAACCCGUGCGCGCAAUGAAAGUGAACGGAGGUGGGAACCGCAAGGUGCACCAUCGACCGAUCCUGAUGUCUUCGGAUGGAUUUGAGUAAGAGCGUAGCUGUUGGGACCCGAAAGAUGGUGAACUAUGCCUGAAUAGGGUGAAGCCAGAGGAAACUCUGGUGGAGGCUCGCAGCGGUUCUGACG
rnacentral:rRNA from 1 species